rnacentral:rRNA from 1 species
AACACGUAAACAACCUGCCUUCAAGAUGGGGACAACAGACGGAAACGACUGCUAAUACCGAAUACGAUCCGAAAGUCGCAUGACAUUUGGAUGAAAGGGUGGCCCAUCGAAGAAGCUAUCGCUUGAAGAGGGGUUUGCGUCCGAUUAGGUAGUUGGUGAGGUAACGGCCCACCAAGCCGACGAUCGGUAGCCGGUCUGAGAGGAUGAACGGCCACACUGGAACUGAGACACGGUCCAGACUCCUACGGGAGGCAGCAGUC